UACGUAGGGUGCGAGCGUUGUCCGGAAUUACUGGGCGUAAAGAGCUCGUAGGUGGUUUGUCGCGUUGUUCGUGAAAUUCCCUGGCUUAACUGGGGGGCGUGCGGGCGAUACGGGCAGACUGGAGUACUGCAGGGGAGACUGGAAUUCCUGGUGUAGCGGUGGAAUGCGCAGAUAUCAGGAGGAACACCGGUGGCGAAGGCGGGUCUCUGGGCAGUAACUGACGCUGAGGAGCGAAAGCGUGGGGGAGCGAACAGG
rnacentral:rRNA from 1 species